rnacentral:tRNA from 1 species
GCCUCUGUAGAGUAAUGGAUAACUCAACAGCCUUCUAAGCUGAAAAUUGCAGGUUCGAAUCCUGUCAGGGGUAC